UCAAGCGCAGUUGGAUUUUCCCGGUACACCUUCUGAAAAGGCCAAAUUGCGGAAACGGGACUCAACCAGGAUAUCACCAGCCGGAAGCUACUUACGACCACGAAAGAUUCGGACGCGGAUUUCAUGUGGAAUCCAAAGGAAUAUAAAGGAAUUCCAGCACAGUCCCACAAAGGCAGCAUCGAACUUGAUAAAUUCACCGGAACCGGCGGGUGUUGUUAACCAUCUUUCUUUGGAUAGCAAUAUUAAAUUGGUAUAACGGAUUCAUACCAGCCACCUUCGAAAUUCCAUCACUGGCUCCGAAAAUUGCUUUUGUCGCCUGCUAAUGCUGCAUUCAAAACAUUCCGGUGAUCUGCUGAACCAAAUAAUACCACAUAAGCCGCCUGCGGGACAGCAACGGAUCAAAGUGAAUGAAAAAACUAUUACUUUUAGCGCAGUGCCAGACUCUUAGACCGUUGACCGGCUGCAGAAUGAUACAGUGCGUGAGAAUAUGGACACAUUGAAUCUUCCGGUAUACAAUCCGAUCUGCUGCCGUCGGACAGGUGCCUCGAUCUUCUCCUGAAUACAUUCUAGGAACACUGCAUAGAGCCUGACCGGUGCGCCUGCUGAUACCGUCAGCGUUUCCGGAACGCUAUGAAUUGCGGAAAAAAACUGAUUCCUACCGAAUUAGCAGCACACGUAUUGGGAAUCUUUUUCGAAAGGGAAAAUAGGCCAGCCAGCAGUGUGAUCUCUUGGUAAACCAGCAGCAGCGGAUUCCCACUGAUCUACCUGGAGUUUCUGGAACGCAAUGGAAUGCACGAAGAGAAGGGUUUUUACCAAAUCAGGACACGCUGAACUUGUUCCGUAUACAGUCAAACCUCCAUGAGUCGAUAUUGAAGGGACCAUCGACUCAUAGAAAUAUCGAGGAGUAGAAUAGAACAUCCUUGGAAAGCUGUUUGAAGGGACCAUCACAGUAACCCAGAAAUAUUUUUUUAAUAUGGCAUAAUUUGCUUCCAUAAGUCGAUAUCGAGUCAUGGAACAUCGACUCAUGGAGGUUUGACUGUACAUACAUCAUUUUCGAAGGGUGGUGGGGAACUUGGCGCAGACCUGUACCGUAGCAAUGCGCAUCGGAAGCAUAAGGAAACCGGAAGCAGCAGCUCUUGGCCCCCAUAACCGUCCAUGUAAUCAAUGAGAUGCGGAUGGUAAAAUCAUCAACAGAACUGGCAGGCAACAACCGUGGAACCAGAUGUAAAUCAUCACCAUCCUACAUACAUCGUGCAGCAAGCAGUAAUGCUGUCGGAUCAUAUUUUGCAUUACACACGCACAACAUAAAACGUGGCUUCUACUCUGUCAAAAAACAAUAUUGAGGGGAAAAUAUACAUAUUUAAAUAAAUAUCGUAGACGCCCCCGAAUGUCCCUGGUUGCUGUGGCAUCCUCAUCUUUGAUGGCUCAUUCUUUCUUCAGGUCUCAUCGGUAAUGCAUAGUUUUCUCUAUAGCUGAUGGGAAAAUGUCUGGUAGCAAAUAGCAAGCCUCGAUAAAAUUUACUAUAUUUCCGUAAACGCAUAAUAGUUGGAUUUAAAAAAAUAUCGAAUGACUAGGUAAAACCGUAACUGCUUCCAGACAUUGAACUGAAAUUCCGUUCUUAGCAAACCAUGAAACUUUGGUA